CAACUCAGGACAAAAAGUCCUUUCACCUCACUAUGCUGGAGAUCAGAUAUCCAACAAAUUAUUUGGAGCAUCCAUCGCCAGUCAUUCUUGUAGAAUUCUGACCCCUGUUAACAGGGGCGUCAUGUACCCCAAAAAUCUGAGGUUUAACAGGGGCGUCAUGUACCCCAAAAAUCUGAGGUUUAACAGGGGCGUCAUGUACCCCAAAAAUCUGAGGUUUAACAGGGGCGUCAUGUACCCCAAAAAUCUGAGGUUUAACAGGGGCGUCAUGUACCCCAAAAAUCUGAGGUUUAACAGGGGCGUCAUGUACCCCAAAAAUCUGAGGUUUAACAGGGGCGUCAUAUACCCCAGAAAUCUGAGGUUUAACAGGGGCGUCAUAUACCCCAAAAUCUGAGGUUUAACAGGGGCGUCAUGUACCCCAAAAAUCUGAGUGUGCACAAAGUAUGUGAGGAUGGCUGGGGGAGUGGUUGGAUAAUUUAGCAAUUUUCAAACACCUGAAAAAGCUUUUUCCUGCAAUCUAGAGCCAUGAUCAUUAUGCUUAAUUUCAUGUGAAACAUAUGUAUAUUUUUCUGCAUAUUUAAGCAUACUUUUUGAAUGGUCUGUAUCCACCUGAUUGGUGGUUCUUUUUUUCAAUAAACUAAAUAUUAAUCUCUACAUCUCUGCUAAAAAUCUGGGUAAAAGAUUGAAAGGAAUGUGAGUCUUAUUCAGUACAUUGAAUAAUUCCUCACUUUUCUAAAGUCGACCAACCUUGCCAGCACACAUGCCAGCUAAGAUAGUUAGACAAGCUAGCUACUCUAACUUGUUUGAGAGCCUUCUUUAUAGCUAGUUAUGAGGUUGGGAGAUUGGGAACCAAUCUGGGCUAGCUAAAGCCAACUUCAUAAAAUUGCUAGGAGGCUAUUUUUUUUUUUAGUUGUAAAAACAGGACACAUCUGAGGGGGCACGUGCCCCUGCGCCCCCUAUGGGCAUUAUGCCUCUGCCUGAUAAUAUGAAUGUCAGUUGAGUGUUGUACUUGAUAGCUUAGUACAUUGGGAUGAAUAUUACACUGGUGAUCAUGCAUUUACUGCAGUUUAACACUUUAGAGUGUCAUGUUUAUGAAAUAAGCAGGUAAAUAGUAUAUUUCAUCAUUAGAGAUGGCAGGUAAUUAUUGCCAAGUAUUCACCUGGUUAUUUCCUGAGGGCACUGUAAAAGCAUGUUUAUACUAAAUGUUCUCUGUAAAGAGUAGUUGUCUUUUGGAAUUCACUCCUGAAAUGGGAAACUACUGAUGGUCAUUCUGUUUUUCAAGGAAGGAUCAUCUUCAAGGUCAUUUUGCAAAGUAGCAACAAUGACGAUCUCAAAUAAAAAUGUUCGCUUUGUUUCUGUUGUUACCUUCAUUUGAAUAACAAAAAUGUGUUUUGCAUCAAACUGUAUAAAUGGGAUUCUCUUAUUCUAUCUGUAAGGUUUUCUGACAUGCAGUGAGCAGGAGUAACCAUCAGAGGGUAAUGUGUCCAUUAUAACUGAGCCACUAGAGAGCAGCGUGGUCCACUUACCACGCAGUCAGCACUCUACAGCCUCUUUCCAGGAUGGCCGAUACUGAGUAGUAACUGAAUUCUUUCAUGUUACCAAUGAAUCAUAUUUUUACAAUGGUGACAACCUCUCAAAUAUAAUUUGUCAAUAGCCAAUAUUGUUCCAAACAGUUCACAUCCAGAGACCCAUAAAAAGUGUGAAAUUGUUUUGUAUUGUGGGAAACGGGGUUCAUUUCAUAAACUAUAGUUGUCUAAAAAUAUCAGUGUCAGAGAAAUAAUUUUACAACAAGUGCUUUGAAAUAAAGAAGCUGAGACACACACUAUACCACCAUAAGUAUAUGACAUACAUAGUGUCUAAUAGACUCUACUGUAAGGGUUUGGAAUAAUGUUAGUAGUCAGUAGACAUGCUGUCCUUAUAGACCUAAUGGAUCAGUAGACAUGCUGUCCUUAUAGACCUAAUGAUUCAGUAGACAUGCUGUCCUUAUAGACCUAAUGGUUCAGUAGACAUGCUGUCUUUAUAGACCUAAUGAUUCAGUAGACAUGCUGUCCUUAUAGACCUAAUGGUUCAGUAUACAUGCUGUCUUUAUAGACCUAAUGGUUCAGUAGACAUGCUGUCCUUCCUUAUAGACCUAAUGGUUCAGUAGACAUGCUGUCUUUAUAGACCUAAUGGUUCAGUAGACAUGCUGUCCUUCCUUAUAGACCUAAUGGUUCAGGAGACAUGCUGUCCUUAUAGACAUAAUGGUU